UUAUGGUGAAGACCACCUUUUCAGAUGUGACAUGGCUCACAGUAAGAGCACUUUUCAGUUCAUGCACAGCAAAAUUCAUAAGUGAGAGGACUCAAGGGCCAGGCAUUUGUGAAGGCUUUCCAGGGUAACUACCCCCUUCCAGCACUGGAGUACCAGAAUAAUGAGAAGCUCAAAAGAGAAUGUGGAAAGGCCUUCCUUUCUCCAUCACCAGAGUACUCAUGGCACAGGGAAGCCAUGAAGAAGAGCUGAGUGAGAAGAUGCUGCCACACAGCUCUAACAUCAGAUAACACCGGGCAGGCCAUGAUAGGGAGAAGCCCUUCAAGAGCAGUGGCUAUGGGAAGACAUGAAGACUUUUGCCCUCUUCAACCACCUAAGAACCCACACUGAAGAGAGAUCUUUAAAUACUUGGUAUGAAGAAAGACCCUCAAGAAGAAAUCAAUUCUUAUCUAUAACCAAAAAAUUCACAGUAGAGAAAACCCCUGCAUCUAAGGAAUGUGGGAUGGUCUUCAGUCACCUCUCCUAUGUGAGAAAGCUAUAUAAAGUACCUAUGGGAAAAAGGCAUUACAAAUGCAGUGAAAAUGGGAAAGCCUUCAGCUAUAGACACCCCCUUUUAAGAAAAAUCACCAGAGAAUUCACAAGAGAGUUAUGGGCAACAAAUGUGGGAAAGCCACAGCUCCCAGAAUCUUAGGCGGCACUGUAUUACUGCUAUUGCAGAAGCCAUCUGUAUUAGUUACCUAUUGCUGUGUAACAAAUUACUCAAAACCUAGUGGCUUAAAACAAUAGUCACUAUUUCACAGUCUCUAUAGGUCAGGAACUUUGGUGCAGCUAGCUGACUCCUCUUUAGGGUUUCUCACAAGGCUAACAUCAAGAUGUCAGCUGGGGGUGUGGUCAUCUGAAGGCUUGACUAGGGAAGGCUCUGCUUCCAAGCAAACUCACGUAAUUGGCAGCAUUCAGUUUUUUGUGGGCUGCUGGACUGAGGACCCGUCUGUUGGUCUGAGACCUCCUCCAGUUCUCUGCCACAUGGGCCUCUCCAAAAUGGCAGCUUGUCAAUCAAAGCUUGCAAGCUGAUCAUGCAAUGGAGAAUACCAACAAGUCAGUCAUUUGUAACCUAAUAACAGAAGUGAGAUCCCAUCAUCUUUGCUAUAUUUAGUUAGAAGCAAGUCACUUGGUCCAGCCCACAGUCAAGGGGAGAGCAUUACACAAGAGCAUGAAUACCAGAGGGCAGAGAUCAUUGGAAGCCAUGUCCAAAGCUGCCUGCCAUACUGUCUCAUCUCUGCCACCUGGCAAGAUCUCAUGAUAUGUAUCAGUCUCCCUCACUGUGCUAAGGGAAAGCAGACUAUACUCCCUUUUCCAUUCUCUAGAGAGAAUUACAUAGGCUUUGAGUACCCUCAUUUUCUUUCCCACUGAUGGCUUUAGAUUUUGGUAUGACAAUUCUUGCUAAGAUCUGAGCUGGUGUCUUCUGGAGCUUUCCAGAAAAGGUUUCUUGGCCGGGCACAGUGGCUCACGCCUAUAAUCCCAGCACUUUGGGAAGCUGAGGCAGGCAGAUCAUGAGGUCAGGAGAUCGAGACCAUCCUGGCUAACAUGGUGAAAACCCACCUCUACUAAAAAUACAAAAAAUUAGCCAGGUGUGGUGGCGGGUGCCUGUAGUCCCAGCUACUUAGGAGGCUGAGGCAGGAGAAUGGUGUGAACCUGGGAGGCAGAGUGUGCAGUGAGCCGAGAUCGCGCCACUGCACUCCAGCCUGGGCGACAGUGUGAGACUCCAUCUAAAAUAAAAAAAAAAAGAAAAAAAAAGAAAAAAAGGUUUCUCUUCGUGGACAUUGUUUGCAUCUACAUGUGACACUUAGGAAUGAUCUGUUUAGUCUCAAUCACCCAGUCCUGGAUCUGCCUGUCUCUCUCUGAGAUAACAAAGGCCUUAAUGUUUAGCCACCUGCAUCAGAGUUGGUGAGGUGGUUUGAAACAAUUCAUCCUAAUAUAAAAAGAACAGCUUUUGUAAGGGGGCACUGAGUGUCUCAAACAGCCGCAUGGGCAGGAAGAGUGCUCAGUCCAGUUUUGGUUGAAUUUACCUUGUUGCCCUAAGGCCUCCUGUGAAAGACUGACAGGCUUGGACUGAAUCUUGUGAUCUGGACACCAAGGGUCACCUGUGGGCCCAGAGCUAGCUCUGAAGAAUGGGGUAGUUUCUUUGAGAACCUCCACAGCAAAAGUUUGGUCCUCUGUUCCCAAUGCAUGUCCCACUUUACCAGCUACAUCCCCCAGUACCUGCCCAUGGCUCAUGACUCAUGAAAUAUAGAACUCAGUAGGCAGGUAUAACUGGUUCAGACCUGCCAGGGCUAUGUGGAAACUAUCAUUGGUACAAAAACUCUAAGUGUGGAGAAGACUGUGGUAGACAAGAGGGGACAUGUCUGUUCUAAAGGCACAUCAGAAACUUCCAAUGACUAUGGCCAAGUGAGAUAAGGUGUACAGAACUUCUCAGGACAUGCAGACCUAUGUGUCACUCAUAACUGAAAUUCAAAUAAAUGUUUUGUGGAUUUCCUGUGGAC
rnacentral:lncRNA from 1 species